GCCUGGGUGGCUCAGUCGGUUAAGCGGCUGACUUCGGCUCAGGUCAUGAUCUCACGGUCCGUGAGUUCGAGCCCCGCAUCAGGCU
rnacentral:tRNA from 1 species